GUACGUCGGCGCCCUCCGAUCUGGGGUGCGCGCCCCAGCUUGGGACACGGGACGCUCAUUCUAGGACUUCAGGCUGGAGGCACCUUAAGGCCGCCCCCUCGCUUUGCAAACUGGCUCCAGAGAUGCUAAGUGACUUGCUAAUGGUGCCCCAGCCAGUUAACGGCUCGGACCUGCAUUUUUCAUUCGAGAAAACGGAAACCCAGAAGAUUAAGAUCUUUGAAUGCUACCUAGCAGAAGGAGAACUUCUGUUUAUAACUACAGCUUGGGAAUUCGCUGCAGGGUUUCUCGAUUCUCUGGGUUUACCUUCCAGAGGCUGGCAAUGCUGUUUCACUGGAGGACACAGCUAAGAAGGAAGUCCACCAGCCUGCCAAGAUGAAAUGCCUUGAAGGUAUCAACAAGUGGGCCGUGAUGUUAUAUAAAAUGCCCCAGCAUGCAGAGCUUGCUGGUCUGUUUCACAUACGGGCUUGGAUGUCCAGAGUCACUGGAAGUUAUUCCAAAUUCUUCCGUUUGCUAAUUAUAUUAUAAUGGGUGACUGAAAGGUCACUCUUCUGGGCUUUAUUUUUCUCACUAUCCUAGUAAAAUUAUCAACAACAACCCAGGACAGCCUCAUAUGACUGUUAAAUGAACAUAUGCACGUAAAGUAUAUGGCACACAGUAGGGUUAAAUUGCAGUGAGUCAGGGCAGCUGGAACUUGUUCAAAGAGGCAACAGAAGGGCGUUGGGUGGGGCAGAGCAGAUGGAAAAGGCUGUGCUAGAACUUAAUGAAGGAAUUGAAGAGGGGAUGUGAAAGUGAAGGUGUUUGGUAUCUGCCAGGUUCCUUUUGUUUGCUUUUUAAAUUUUUUACUUAGAGACAGGGUCUCACUGUGUUGCCCAGGCUGAUCUCAAACUCCUGGGCCCACAUGAUCUUCCCGCCUUGGCCUCCCAAGUAAGUGGGACUACAAGCACGAGCCACCACACCUGGCUCAGGUUCCAUUUGACUUACUGGGGGAUGGCUCGGGUCACCUUGGGAGAAGGGAGGCCGAGUUAAACCCACAGAACAGGACGCGUUAUGUUCAAAGGUGGUGCUGGAGAUGGCUUAUGAACAGAAGUGCUAUUGAGUAGCAGCCUCUCUAGACAAGACUCACAGCUGAGCCCCCAUCUUACCUUCUCCUCUGGCCCACACUUAAACCAAGGGCCAGGUAAGACCUGUGGCCCCUUGGCUCCUGAGGAGGAGCUGGUGUCUGCCUGCCAAUUGGAAAAAGAAGAAGAGAAUGAAGGGGAGGAGGAGGAAGAGGAAGAGGAGGAGGACGGAGAGGAUCUGGACCCAGAUCUGGACCCAGACCUAGAGGAGGAACAGAAUGAUCUUGGGGAUCCAGCUGUACUUGGUGCUGUCCACAACACCCAGGUACCAUGGCAGGAGGGAAUGGGAGAGGGUUGUCCUGAACUGUCUGUGGCUCACAGGCUGUCACUAAACAUUCCUCUUCUCUUUUCUACCCUUUUCUAAGACAAGUUCUGGAUUAACACUUUCUUUUUAAGCCUUGAACCUGAGUUAGGGACUCUCUCCUUCCCUCUUUCUCCUGUCUCCCACUUCGUUUCUGAUGCUGUUCUCGCCUUAAAACCAGGUCCUAGCAGAGCUGUGCAUCGCCCACAGGCGGUGGCCCUGCUACUAGCAUUAAAGGUGAGUCACAUUUGCCUGAUCCUGGGCCCCUCUGUCUCAGUAGUCCAUUCCUGGUAUUUAUUCCCUUGGAUCCCAUAACUAGUGGAGAAGGACAAGGACUCCUAUGUAGAUAUGAGGUGACUCAGAACUUCCUUCAACCUACUACUAAGGUACAGUAGUCCAUUGUUUCACUUUCUGCCAUUUCAGUUACCCUUGGUCAACUAUAGUCUGAAAAUAGGCGAGUAUAGUACAAUAAGGUAUUUUAAGAGAGACUACAUUCACAUAACUUUUAUUACAGUAUAUUGUUAUAACUGUUCUAUUUUUAUUGUUCAUUUCUUAUUGUGUCUAAUUCAUAAAUUAAACUAGCCAGUUGCAGUGGCUUUUGUCUGUAAUCCCAGCACUUUGGGAGGAUUGCUUGAGGCCAGGAAUUCCACACCAGCCUGGGCAACAAAGCAAGACCCUGUCGCUAC
rnacentral:sRNA from 1 species